rnacentral:rRNA from 1 species
GACGAACGCUGGCGGCGUGCUUAACACAUGCAAGUCGAACGGGAUGACUUAGAUGCUUGCUUUUAGAGAAUUUAGUGGCACACGGGUGAGUCACACGUAGACAACCUGCCGCCAGGAUAGGGACAACAUUACGAGAGGAAAGCUCCUACCGAAUGCAGUCAGAGGAUGGCAUCCUUCUCUGAUGAACGAUGGCCUCUGAAUAUGCUAUCACUUGUUGGUGGGUUUGCGUCUGAUUAGCUAGCUGGUGAGGUAACGGCUCACCAAGGCGACGUUCAGUAGCCGGUCGGAGAGGAUGGACGGCCACAAUGGGACGGAGACACGGCCCAGACGCCUACGGGAGCGAGCAAGGGGGAAUCGGCCGGAAGGGGCGGAAGCCUGACGGAACAACGCCGCAGGAGGGAAGAAGGGCGUCGGGUCGGAAAGGUCGGUUGACGGGGUCGAACGUGCGGUGUGCGAAGAGCGCUUGGUAAUGACGGUACCGGUCGAAGAAGCCACGGCUAACUACGUG